rnacentral:rRNA from 1 species
GUUGUCCCGGUUUAAGCGUGUAGGCUGGUUUUCCAGGCAAAUCCGGAAAAUCAAGGCUGAGGCGUGAUGACGAGGCACUGCGGUGCUGAAGCAACAAAUGCCCUGCUUCCAGGAAAAGCCUCUAAGCAUCAGGUAACAUCAAAUCGUACCCCAAACCGACACAGGUGGUCAGGUAGAGAAUACCAAGGCGCUUGAGAGAACUCGGGUGAAGGAACUAGGCAAAAUGGUGCCGUAACUUCGGGAGAAGGCACGCUGAUAUGUAGGUGAAGUCCCUCGCGGAUGGAGCUGAAAUCAGUCGAAGAUACCAGCUGGCUGCAACUGUUUAUUAAAAACACAGCACUGUGCAAACACGAAAGUGGACGUAUACGGUGUGACGCCUGCCCGGUGCCGGAAGGUUAAUUGAUGGGGUUAGCGCAAGCGAAGCUCUUGAUCGAAGCCCCGGUAAACGGCGGCCGUAACUAUAACGGUCCUAAGGUAGCGAAAUUCCUUGUCGGGUAAGUUCCGACCUGCACGAAUGGCGUAAUGAUGGCCAGGCUGUCUCCACCCGAGACUCAGUGAAAUUGAACUCGCUGUGAAGAUGCAGUGUACCCGCGGCAAGACGGAAAGACCCCGUGAACCUUUACUAUAGCUUGACACUGAACAUUGAGCCUUGAUGUGUAGGAUAGGUGGGAGGCUUUGAAGUGUGGACGCCAGUCUGCAUGGAGCCGACCUUGAAAUACCACCCUUUAAUGUUUGAUGUUCUAACGUUGACCCGUAAUCCGGGUUGCGGACAGUGUCUGGUGGGUAGUUUGACUGGGGCGGUCUCCUCCUAAAGAGUAACGGAGGAGCACGAAGGUUGGCUAAUCCUGGUCGGACAUCAGGAGGUUAGUGCAAUGGCAUAAGCCAGCUUGACUGCGAGCGUGACGGCGCGAGCAGGUGCGAAAGCAGGUCAUAGUGAUCCGGUGGUUCUGAAUGGAAGGGCCAUCGCUCAACGGAUAAAAGGUACUCCGGGGAUAACAGGCUGAUACCGCCCAAGAGUUCAUAUCGACGGCGGUGUUUGGCACCUCGAUGUCGGCUCAUCACAUCCUGGGGCUGAAGUAGGUCCCAAGGGUAUGGCUGUUCGCCAUUUAAAGUGGUACGCGAGCUGGGUUUAGAACGUCGUGAGACAGUUCGGUCCCUAUCUGCCGUGGGCGCUGGAGAACUGAGGGGGGCUGCUCCUAGUACGAGAGGACCGGAGUGGACGCAUCACUGGUGUUCGGGUUGUCAUGCCAAUGGCACUGCCCGGUAGCUAAAUGCGGAAGAGAUAAGUGCUGAAAGCAUCUAAGCACGAAACUUGCCCCGAGAUGAGUUCUCCCUGACUCCUUGAGAGUCCUGAAGGAACGUUGAAGACGACGACGUUGAUAGGCCGGGUGUGUAAGCGCAGCGAUGCGUUGAGCUAACCGGUACUAAUGAACCGUGAGG